AUGUCAGCAGCAAUGAAUUCUGAAGAAAAGCUGUCUAGACUUCUAUUUUCGUUUUCAAAUUUGAGCGGUUGGGUUUUGUGUGCCUGUAUGUUUGCUCCUUUGAAUUCUCAGGGUGGUCAUGUUAAUAUGUUUGCCCCGGCAGGUAAAGUGAAGUCUGGAUCAAGGUGUGGCAUUCUCGCUUUGAUGUCGGCUGUCAUGCUCGACUGCCUCUGGAUCUCUUUGGCUGCCAUCAAGUCUGUUGUCGUGGGAGACCAGACACAAAUGAAGAAGGGAACAGAAAAUAUCAAUGCAGGGAAUGCCUGUUGUUUAUGAAGCAAGUCAGCACAGCACGGAAUUAUGAGAAAAACUGAAGAAAGCAAGAUGGAGUGGAAAACUUAUAGCUCAUGUUUCAGAAUAACACCAAUGUCACUCUUUCCUCCUCGUCCCAAGCAGCACCACAAAAGUGACUCCAGCUGGCCCUGCUCAGAGACAGAACUUCUGGAAGCAGCAAACAUCACUGGUCACUUUUUACAUUUAAAUAUAUUGGAACCAAAACAAGAGACAUUUUUUUAAAUGUUGACGUGGAAGUAUGACAUCACCUUCAGAUUUUCCUUUUGUCUGAGAAGUCCCAAGAGCAAAUCUUGGUCCUCUUCUUGGGAUACAGAGGCAGAUCUGCUCAUCCAGCUUUUGUCGUACUAUCUAGGGUAUACUUCAGAGGUAUAACUGUCUCCUCAUACCUUCAUUUCUGCAACUCUUUUUUUGGGACUCCAAAUCAGCUUAUUCCAAGGUAAUGGAGGUCUGAUUCUUCUGACAGUUUUUCUGUUUGGCUCAAUCUACCCACUGCUGCUAGCCCUGUUAUUAUAUCCAAUGCUGUUACCCAUCAACCAUCCAAAAUAACCACCCUCCCACAAACACACCAUUCCAGAUUCACUUAUUGCCAUGACUCAAUCAGCUCCAGCUCCAAAAGUUGUUUUUGUCAUGAGAUUUAUUGAAUCAAAUAAGUUACUCCACUCUUGCUAAUAUCUGUAACUUCACCUGUUAUAGUUCAGACUAAGGGGGAUCUGUCUCUCUGAACAAACAGAAACCUAGCACAGAAAGUCAGAUUCUAGAGCUCUGCUACUUAUUGAGGAGCUAAGACCAUCAUCUAGCUAGAAAUUAGAGGCAGAAAAAAAAAAAAGAAAAAAAGAAAAAAAGAAAAAAAAAACAGAAUGAAAUAAAAUUAGUGCUGACCAUAGCA
rnacentral:lncRNA from 1 species